rnacentral:rRNA from 1 species
GAGUUUGAUCCUGGCUCAGAUUGAACGCUGGCGGUAACUUUUAAACAUGCAAGUCGAGCGGUAACAGACAUAAAGAUUCAGCUUGCUGAAUCCGGUGCUGACGAGCGGCGAACGGGUGAGUAACGCGUAGGAAUCUACCCAGUAGCGGGGGAUAGCCCGAGGAAACUCGGAUUAAUACCGCAUACGCCCUGAGGGGGAAAGGGGGCAAUUUAUUGCUCUCACUAUUGGAUGAGCCUGCGUAAGAUUAGCUUGUUGGUAGGGUAAUGGCCUACCAAGGCGACGAUCUUUAGCUGGUCUGAGAGGACGAUCAGCCACAUUGGGACUGAGACACGGCCCAGACAUCUACGGAUGGCAGCAGUUAAGAAUAUUGGACAAUGGGGGCAACCCUGAUCCAGGUAUACCGCGUGUGUGAAGAAGGCCCUAGGGUUGUAAAGCACUUUAAUCAGAGAAGAAGCAUUUUAAGUUAAUACCUUAAUUUGUUGACGUUAACUGAAGAAUAAGGACCGGCUAACUCCGUGCCAGCAGCCGCGGUAAUACGGAGGGUCCAAGCGUUAAUCGGAAUUACUGGGCGUAGAGCGCGCGUAGGCGGUUUAGCAAGUUGUAUGUGAAAGCCCUGGGCUCAACCUAGGAACUGCAUCCAAAACUACUAAGCUAGAGUACGAGAGAGGAGAGUAGAAUUUCUGGUGUAGCGGUGAAAUGCGUAGAUAUCAGAAGGAAUACCAAUGGCGAAGCAGCCCACUGGCUCGUCACUGACGCUGAGUGCGAAAGCGUGGGUAGCAAACAGGAUUAGAUACCCUGGUAGUCCACGCCGUAACGAUGACACUAGCCGUUGGG